AGAGUUUGAUCCUGGCUCAGGAUGAACGCUAGCUACAGGCUUAACACAUGCAAGUCGAGGGGAAACGACAUCGAAAGCUUGCUUUUGAUGGGUGUCGACCGGCGCACGGGUGAGUAACGCGUAUCCAACCUGCCCACCACUUGGGGAUAACCUUGCGAAAGUAAGACUAAUACCCAAUGAUAUCUCUAGAAGACAUCUGAAAGAGAUUAAAGAUUUUAUCGGUGAUGGAUGAGGAUGCGUCUGAUUAGCCUUGUUGGCGGGGUAACGGCCCACCAAGGCAACGAUCAGUAGGGGUUCUGAGAGGAAGGUCCCCCACAUUGGAACUGAGACACGGUCCAAACUCCUACGGGAGGCAGCA
rnacentral:rRNA from 1 species